rnacentral:rRNA from 1 species
CCUACGGGGGGCAGCAGUGGGGAAUAUUGGGCAAUGGGCGCAAGCCUGACCCAGCAACGCCGCGUGAAGGAAGAAGGCUUUCGGGUUGUAAACUUCUUUUCUCAGGGACGCAGAAAGUGACGGUACCUGACGAAUAAGCCACGGCUAAAUACGUGCCAGCAGCCGCGGUAAUACGUAGGUGGCAAGCGUUAUCCGGAUUUACUGGGUGUAAAGGGCGUGUAGGCGGGACUGCAAGUCAGAUGGGAAAACCACGGGCUCAAACUGUGGCCUGCAGUUGAAACUGUAGUUCUUGAGUACUGGAGAGGCAGACGGAAUGCCUGGUGUAGCGGUGAAAUGCGUAGAUAUUAGGAGGAACACCAGUGGCGAAGGCGGUCUGCUGGACAGCAACUGACGCUGAGGCGCGAAAGCGUGGGGAGCAAACAGGAUUAGAUACCCGAGUAGUC